rnacentral:tRNA from 1 species
GGAGAGGUGCCAGAGUGGCCGAAUGGGACGGUCUCGAAAACCGUUGUGGGAGUAAUCUCACCGAGGGUUCGAAUCCCUCCCUCUCCG